rnacentral:rRNA from 1 species
AUCCUAACCGUGCAAAGGUAGCAUAAUCAUUUGUCUACUAAUUAUAGACCUGUAUGAAAGGCAAAAUGAGGGUCCAACUGUCUCUUAUAGUAAAUCUAUUAAACUGAUCUUCUAGUAAAAAAGCUAGAAUUAAACCAUAAGACCAGAAGACCCUGUGAAGCUUAAAUUAAACUAUUAAACCAAAUAAUAACUAAUUUUGGUUGGGGCGACCUUGGAAAAAAUAAGAACUUCCAAACAACAUGACACAGUCAUAAACCUAGGCCAACAAGCCAAAUUACGACCCAGCACAGCUGAUAAUUGAAACAAGUUACUCCAGGGAUAACAGCGCAAUCUUCUUCAAGAGCCCAUAUCAAAAAGAAGGUUUACGACCUCGAUGUUGGAUCAGGACAUCCUAAUGGUGCAGAAGCUAUUAAGGGUUCGUUUGUUCAACGAUUAACAGUCCUACGUGAUCUGA